GAUCAUGAAUUUAACGGCCGCGGUAUCUUGACCGUGCAAAGGUAGCGCAAUCACUUGUCUUUUAAAUGAAGACCUGUAUGAAUGGCACGACGAGGGCUUAACUGUCUCCCUUCCCCAGUCAAUGAAAUUGACCCCCCCGUGCAGAAGCGGGGAUAAACCUAUAAGACGAGAAGACCCUGUGGAGCUUAAGACAUAUAAGUAGGUCCUGUAAAAAGAACCUAAGUUAAAGGCAUUAACAAAGGAAAUUCUACUUUGCUGUCUUUGGUUGGGGCGACCGCGGGGUAAUACUGAACCCCCACGAGGAGGAAAAGAAUCUUUUCGAAUCGAGAGUGACAACUCAAACUAAUAGAACAUCUAACCUAAAAUGACCCGGCCUCGGCCGAUCAACGGAAACAGUUACCCCAGGGAUAACAGCGCCAUCCUUUCCUAGAGUCCAUAUCGACGAAAGGGUUUACGACCUCGAUGUUGGAUCAGGACAUCCUAAUGGUGCAGCCGCUAUUAAGGGUUCGUUUGUUCAACGAUUAAAGUCCUACGUGACU
rnacentral:rRNA from 1 species